GCCCCUGUGGCGGAACUGGUAGACGCGGCAGACUCAAAAUCUGUUGAUUUUACGAUCGUGGGAGUUCGAGUCUCCCCGGGGGCACCA
rnacentral:tRNA from 1 species